rnacentral:rRNA from 1 species
GGCAAGUCUUAAGAUAAGCCAUGCAUGUGUAAGUAUAAAUAAUUUUACUUUGAAAACUGCGAAAGGGCUCAUUAUAUCAGUUAUAGUUAUUAGAGAUACUUUACUACUUGAAUAACCGUAGUAAUUCUAGGGCUAAUACGAAUAAAUCCUAACUUCGGAAGAGGUGUGUUUAUUAGUAUGAAAACCAUAUAUCUUCGGAUAUAAUAGUGAGUAAUAAUAACCUUUCGUAUCGUAUGUCGUGAUAACGAUAGUUCUUUCAAGUUUCUGCCCUAUCAGCUUUCGAUGGUAGUAUAUGGGACUACCAUGGCAGUAACGGGUAACGAAGAAUUUGGGUUCGAUUUCGGAGAGGGAGCCUGAGAGAUGGCUACCACAUCCAAGGAAGGCAGCAGGCGCGUAAAUUACCCAAUCCUGACGUAGGGAGGUAGUGACGAUAAAUCACAAUGCGGAACUAUUUAGUUUUGCAAUUGGAUUGAGAACAAUGUACAAAUGUUAUCGAUAAACAAUUGGAGGGCAAGUCUGGUGCCAGCAGCCGCGGUAAUUCCAGCUCCAAUAGCGUAUAUUAACGUUGUAUGCAGUUAAAAAAGCUCAAG